rnacentral:rRNA from 1 species
GUGUCAGCCGCCGCGGUAAGACAGAGGAUGCAAACGUUGCUCGGAAUUACUGGGCGUAAAGCGCGUGUAGGCGGUUUCGCACGUCCGGUGUGAAAGCCCAGGGCUCAACCCUGGAAGUGCACUGGAUACGACGGAGCUGGAGUACUGAAGAGGAGAGCGGAAUUCCCGGUGUAGAGGUGAAAUUCGUAGAUAUCGGGAGGAACACCAGUGGCGAAGGCGGCUCUCUGGGCAGAUACUGACGCUGAGACGCGAAAGCAUGGGGAGCAAACAGGAUUAGAUACCCUGGUAGUCC